UACGUAGGGGGCAAGCGUUAUCCGGAAUUACUGGGCGUAAAGCGCACGCAGGCGGUUCGCCAAGUUUGGAGUGACAGUUGUCGGCUCAACCGACAAAGGACUUCAAAAACUGGUGAACUUGAGGACGAGAGAGGAACAUGGAACUCCAGGUGUAGUAGUGAAAUGCGUAGAUAUCUGGAAGAACACCAAUGGCAAAGGCAAUGUUCUGGCUCGUUUCUGACGCUCAGGUGCGAAAGCCAGGGGAGCGAACGGG
rnacentral:rRNA from 1 species